rnacentral:rRNA from 1 species
GAUCAGUGGCUCAGAUUGAACGCUGGCGGCAUGCCUUACACAUGCAAGUCGAACGGUAGAGGGGGCAACCCUUGAGAGUGGCGAACGGGUGAGUAAUAUAUCGGAACGUGCCCAGUCGUGGGGGAUAACGUAGCGAAAGUUACGCUAAUACCGCAUACGAUCUAAGGAUGAAAGCGGGGGAUCGCAAGACCUCGCGCGAUUGGAGCGGCCGAUAUCAGAUUAGGUAGUUGGUGAGGUAAAGGCUCACCAAGCCAACGAUCUGUAGCUGGUCUGAGAGGACGACCAGCCACACUGGAACUGAGACACGGUCCAGACUCCUACGGGAGGCAGCAGUGGGGAAUUUUGGACAAUGGACGCAAGUCUGAUCCAGCCAUUCCGCGUGCAGGAUGAAGGCCCUCGGGUUGUAAACUGCUUUUGUACGGAACGAAAAGGUUUCUAUUAAUACUAGGAGCUCAUGACGGUACCGUAAGAAUAAGCACCGGCUAACUACGUG